AUGUCUGACAAACUGCCCUACAAAGUCACUGACGUACACCUGGGGACCCAGGGCCCUGAACUUUAAGGAGACCUAGAUGCCAGGCCUAAUGCGCAUGCGUGAGCGGUACUCGGCCUCUGAGCCACUGGAGGGCGCCCGCUUCUCUGGCUGCCUGCACUAGAACUUGGAGACGGCCGUCCUCAUUCAGACCCUCGUCGCCCUGGGUGCUGAGGUGCAGUGGUCCAGCUGCAACAUCUCCACCCAGAACCAGGCCGCGACUGCCAUUGCCACGGCUGGCAUUCCAGUGUAUGCCUGGAAGGGCGAAACGGACCAGGAGUACCUGUGGUGCCUUGAGCAGACGCUGUACUUCAAAGACGGGCCCCUCAACAUGAUUCUGGAUGACGGGAUCGACCUCACCAGCCUCAUCCACACCAAGUACCCGCAGAUCCUGCCAGGCAUCUGAGGCAUCUUGGAGGAGACCACAACCGCGGUCCACAGCCUCUACAAGAUGAUGGCUAAUGGGAUCCUGAAAGUGCUUGCCAUCAACGUCAAUGACUCCGUCACCAAGAGCAAGCUUGACAACCUCUGUGGCUGCCAGGAGUCCCUCAUACAUGGUGGCAUUAAGCGGGCCACAGACGUGAUGAUUGCCAGCAAGGUAGUGGUGGUAGCAGGUUAUGGUGAUAUGGGCAAGGGCUGUGCCCAGGCCCUGCGGGCUUCAGAGUUCGUCAUCAUCACCGACAUUGACCCCAUCAAUGCACUGCAGGCCGCCAUGGAGGGCUAUGAAGUGACCGCCAUGGAUUAGGCCUGCCAGGAGGGCAGCAUCUUUGUCACCACCGCAGGCUGUGUUGACAUCAUCCGUGGCCAGCUCUUUGAGCAAAUGAAGGAUGAUGCGAUCGCAUGUAACACUGGACACUGACGUGGAGAUCGAUAUCAAGUGGCUCAACGAGAGCGCUGUGGAGAAGGUGAACAUCAAGCCGCAGGUGGGCCAGUACCAGCUAAAGAAUGGGUGCCAUAUCAUCUUGCUUCGGCUGGUCAGUCUGGGUUGUGCCAUGGGCCUCUUCAGCUUCAUGAUGAGAUGCUCCUUCACCAACCAGGUGAUGGCACAGACAGAGCUGUGGACCCACCCAGACAAAUACCCCGCUGGGGUUCACUUCCCGCCCAAGAAGCUGGAUGAGGCAGUGGCGGAAGCCCACCUGGGCAAGCUGAAUGUUAAGUUGACCAAGCUGAGAAGCAAGCCCACUACCUGGGCAUGUCCCGUGAUGGCCCCUUCAAGCCAGAUCACUACUGCUACUGAGAGUCAGGUAUGCACUUCGCCUUCCAGCUGCUAUCCUUGCCUAGGCUGUCCCUAAGAGCAAAGGGCAUUAACUUUGCGAAUGGUUUGUCAGUAUCCCUCAUCAACUCUCUGGGGCCGGUCACUCAGUUUUUUGGCCUCUGAGCAGCCCUCAUACAGUUCCAAGUGUGGCAGCGGGAACUGAGAGGCUCCUCCUCAGGCCCUGGGCAUGAUGGAGGUACCAGCCACAGGGAACCAUGAGCUCAGUGGUCUUGGAACUGCUAAAUCAGUCCUUCCUUAGCAUCAAAGUCAGUAGUGGAAUCACAGAGCCCAUGUAUUUUGCCAUCCAGGCCUUCACCUGGUCUGUGGACUUAGACCUGUGUGGUUGCUUUACAGGUCCAGUGGCUCCUCAGCUCAUGACAGAUGAGAAGGAGCUAUACCGAAGGGCAAAGAGGAACUCUUGUUUGAAUUUUCCUGAGAGCCUGGCUUAGUGCUGGGCCUUCUCUUACACCUCAUAACAAUGAGGUUAGUACUUUUAGUCCCUAUUUUAUAGGAGUUAGAAUAGACUGCUAAGGGGAAAGUGAGAAAGAACAGAGAAGUGACAGCCAGAGGUUGAGAGGGGCCAGAAAACAUAAAGGCAGAUGUAGAUCUGCCACUGCUUUGUAACCAGAUGUUUCCUAUCACAACUCUGGGUCAAAAAGAGAAUAACUUGGCCUAUAAUGUUUAUAAUGUUAAAAGAAAGCUGGAAUGUAGGUAAAUAAAAAUCUUGGUGCCUAAAAAAAAAAAAA